rnacentral:ncRNA from 1 species
GUCGGGAGGGCGGUAGUGAUAAAAUACCUUCGGGGAAAGCUACCCGCGGUUCCUUUUUGGCCGUUCUGAACCUCCUGACACCCAAUC